AGGAUAAACGCUGGCGGCGUGCAUGAGACAUGCAAGUCGAACGGACACUUGGGGCUUGCUCCAAGUGUUAGUGGCGGACGGCUGAGUAACGCGUAGGUGACCUGCCCCGAAGUGGGGAAUAACUGCCCGAAAGGGUGGCUAAUACCGCAUGUGGUGGUGUGUUCAUUCACACCAGUAAAGCCGCAAGGCGCUUCGGGAGGGGCCUGCGUCCGAUUAGCUCGUUGGUGGGGUAACGGCUCACCAAGGCGACGAUCGGUAGGUGGUCUGAGAGGACGAUCACCCAGACUGGGACUGAGACACGGCCCAGACUCCUACGGGAGGCAGCAGUCGGGAAUUUUGCGCAAUGGACGAAAGUCUGACGCAGCAACGCCGCGUGAGGGAUGAAGGCCUUCGGGUUGUAAACCUCUUUUAUCUAGGGAAGAUAAUGACGGUACCUGAUGAAUAAGUCACGGCUAACUACGUGCCAGCAGCCGC
rnacentral:rRNA from 1 species